UACGUAGGGCGCAAGCGUUAUCCGGAAUUAUUGGGCGUAAAGAGCUCGUAGGCGGUUUGGUGAGUCGGGUGUGAAAUCUCCACGCUCAACGUGGAGGAGCCACCCGAUACUGCCAUGACUAGAGUCCGGUAGGGGAGUGUGGAAUUCCCGGUGUAGCGGUGAAAUGCGCAGAUAUCGGGGAGGAACAUCAGUUGCGAAGGCGGCUCUCUGGACCAGCACUGACACUGAGGCACGAAAGCGUGGGGAGCAAACAGG
rnacentral:rRNA from 1 species